GGUGUUAGGAAGUGGGGCCUUGGGGAGGUGAUGAGGCCCCGAGUGUACAGUUCCCAUGAAGAGGAUUAGAGGCCCCAGAGAGACCCCUUGCCUCUUUCACCAUGUGAAGACAAAGCAAAAAGACAGCCAUCUGUGAACCAGGUCUUGCUCCGUCACCCAGGCUGGAGUGCAGUGACAUGAUCAUGGCUCACUGUAGCCUUGACCUCCUGGGCUCAAGUGAUCUUCCCGCCUCAGCCUUCUGAGUAGCUAGGACCACAGAAAUUCCCAGAGAAAGAACUUCGACUCAAUUCGGACUUCACUGAUAUGGAACCAGAGGUUACUAUGUGCAUUGGCUUUUGGUUUCCAUGAGGUAAUUCACAAAGGAAAACUGAGUGUUAGGCAGAGAUCAGAGGGCUCCUGGUCCAUACACCCCACUAUUCACUCCUCAGAGGACCAUGGAGACUGCAGAGAGGUGGAGCUGUGGGUCCAAACCCAGCAUUUGCUGCCAAUUUCUGCAAAGGAUAUACUCUAGAGACUCACGCGUCCUCCUACCUUGUACAGCUGGACAUCGUAGCAUUUAAAGAGCUGGCACACGUCAGGCAAUGACAUCAGCAUGACUGUGUCUUGCUGCAGAGACUUCCAGAAGGAAGUAAGCAAGUCCUCCCCCUGGGGUUAGAAGUCGCCUAACGACUGUGGAAGGAAAAGGAGACUGGUGUGGUUCUACACAGGAGCCUUCUCUAAAGACUUAUGUGGACUACUUCGUGGAGGAUCAAAAUGGCGGCUCCUCUUUUCUGUUUUUUCCCACGUUGACUUUUCAGUUUCCGUGCUUUAACCAGGUGACCGAUCUGCUUCGCCGCCAAUAAAGACUCUUGCCUGUUUGGGAUUUCCACAGGCUCAGAUACUGUGAGGCAUCACAACCUUGUCGUAUCUCCCCUGGUCCUGGUGCUAGGACCUGCCAGUGACACCAGACAAGGCGCUGGCCCCAUGCCUAGGUCAUCAUGGAAGUUAGGGUCAACUCCUGAAUUACAUGGCCACAGGCGCUGGUUUAAAAUCCCGUUAUCAGGGCAUUCAUUCUAGAGAGGACUUCUCCAAAGAGACUCUGAAAAAUACAACACAGGGUGUAGCAAUCCCUUUUCUCUCAGGCUGGGAACCUUGGAGCAAGGAGCUUUGGGGAAGGGGGGUCUGGGUGGAGCCACCACCACAGACCCGUCUCUGCUCACCCCUCACCACCCGCGUCCAAGUCACCAAACCCUGUUGCGCUUGCCUCUGAAAUAUUUCUCUAACCUGCCACUGUUUAUCUCUGAUAUCACUGUCACUGCCCCAGAAUCCACCCUUGUCGCUUCUCACCUCAACUGUGACAAAACCUCCUCACUGCCUCUCUGUUCCACGACGGCCAAGCCCUAUUGUCACUGCUCCCCCACUGUCUUCUCAACAAGUCAGAGUUCUUCUGGGGCAUCCGAGGCCCCUUCUGGCAUCAGCCUACUUUCCCACCUCCCCUCUGGCUUCUCUUCUUUAGAAAUAAUAAAAUCUAGGCUGGGCGCGGUGGUUCACGGCUGUAAUCCCAGCACUUUGGGAGGCCGAGGUGGGCAGAUCACCUGAGGUCAGGAGUUUGAGAACAGCCUGGCCAGCAUGGUAAAAACCCCGUCUCUACUAAAAAUACAAAAAAUUAGCCGGGCAUGGUGGUGGGCGCCUGUGGUCCCAGCUACUCGGUAGGCUGAGGCAGGAGAAUCGCUUGAACUCAGGAGGUGGAGGUACAGUGAGCCGAGAUCGCACCACUGAACUCUAGCCUCGGUGACAGAGCAAGACUGCGUUUCACAAAAAAAAAAAAAAAAAAAAAAAAAAAAAAAAAAAAAAAAAAAAGAAAGAAAAAGAAAACAAAAGAAAAGAAAAAAAGAAAUAAUAAAAUAUAGUCACAGUGACCUUUUUGUCACAUCAUGCCCGUGAACAUCAUGCUGCCUUUACCUGCACCAUGGGUCCUACCUGGAAUCCCUCUCCUACCCCAUUUUCUGUCUAUUGCACCUCUGCCUUUCCUACUAGAGUCAGCAGCAACGUGGCCUGCUUUGGAAGCACUCCCUGGCCUUCUCUGUUACCCUUCUCUAGGCACCCAGAGUAGUCUAAUCAUGCAGCUAUUCUAGAACUUUCCACAUUGCAUCAUCUCUAUUGGGUAAUAUUGCUCCUUUCAUUACCAACUACUAACUUCUCAAGCCUUAUGGAGAAUACUUUCCUAGUCCUGGUAAUGGUGUCGGUCACAGGGUAGGAAUUAAAUACGUAUUUGAUGAAUAAGUGAAGAAGGAAAGGAAUAAUGUCAGACAUCCAGUGUGGAUGGAUAUUUGUAACAUUGCAUCAACAGGACAGGGGCCAUCCUGAAGACA